rnacentral:rRNA from 1 species
UAGUAACGGCGAGUGAAGAGGGAAAAGCUCAAAUUUUGAAUCUGGUGUCUUUGGCGCCCGAGUUGUAAUCUAGAGAAGUGUUUUCUGCCUUGGACCACACAUAAAUUCCCUGGAAUGGGGUGUCAUAGAGGGUGAGAAUCCCGUUUGUGGUGUGGACUACCUUGGCUCUGUGAUACACUCUCAACGAGUCGAGUUGUUUGGGAAUGCAGCUCAAAAUGGGUGGUAAAUUCCAUCUAAAGCUAAAUAUUGGCGAGAGACCGAUAGCGAACAAGUACCGUGAGGGAAAGAUGAAAAGCACUUUGGAAAGAGAGUGAAACAGUACGUGAAAUUGUUGAAAGGGAAGCGUUUGAAGUCAGUCACAUCGGUCGGAACUCAGCCUGGCUUUGCCUGGUGUACUUUCUGGCAGAUGGGUCAGCGUCAAUUUCGACUGAGGGAAAAAGACUUGAGGAAUGUGGCUGUCCUCGGGCAGUGUUAUAGCCUCUUGUUGUAUGUCUCAGUUGGGAUUGAGGACCGCAGCACGCCUUAUGGCCGGGGUUCGCGCCCUCGGAACGUGCUUAGGA